AUUGAACGCUGGCGGCGUGCUUAACACAUGCAAGUCGAUCGGUAACAGGUGUAGCAAUACAUGCUGACGAGAGGCGGACGGGUGAGUAAUGCUUGGGAAUCUGCCUAUUAGUGGGGGACAACCCGGGGAAACUCGGGCUAAUACCGCAUACGCUCUACGGAGGAAAGCCGGGGACCGCAAGGCCUGGCGCUAAUAGAUGAGCCCAAGUCGGAUUAGCUAGUUGGUAGGGAACGGCCUACCAAGGCGACAAUCCGUAGCUGGUCUGAGAGGACGACCAGCCACACCGGAACUGAGACACGGUCCGGACUCCUACGGGAGGCAGCAGUGGGGAAUAUUGGACAAUGGGGGCAACCCUGAUCCAGCGACGCCGCGUGGGUGAAGAAGGCCUGCGGGUUGUAAAGCCCUUUCGGUGGGGAAGAAAAGUCUCGACCUAAUACGUCGGGACCUUGACGUAACCCACCUAAAGAAGCACCGGCUAACUCUGUGCCAGCCCGCCGCCGUAAG
rnacentral:rRNA from 1 species